GCUGGAUGUGGUGGUGCACACCUGUAAUCACAGUGGCUCAGGAGGCUGAGGCAGGAGUAUCACAAGUUCAAGGCCAGUCUGAGCAAUUUAGUGAGGCCCUAAGCAAAUGAGUGAGACCCUGUCUCUA
rnacentral:sRNA from 1 species